GUCUGUGGUACUUCUCGUGGUGUGUCUAACAUCAAAGCUCAGGCCCUUAUUUAUAGUUCCAAGACGAGACAACAAGUCUAAUUUUCUCAAUGUGGGACUAUGAGACUUGCCAAACUACCAUCAUCACCUUUUUAUUAACUUCUGAAGCUCUCUCUCUCUCUCUCUCUCUCUCUCUCCAGAUUGUGUAUAUCACACAGAGUCAACCUUUAAUUGCUUGACAAGCAACCACCUGGUGUCCCAACUGCUUGUUUUGUGUAUGUUCAAUGGCAAGAGAUACUCCAAUAUGCCUACAUUUCGAUCCCGUGGGUUUGAGUUGCAGAGGCCCAUCCAGCAUUAUGCUCUUUGGGACUGUUGAGGAUUAAAUAGUUAGACAUUGGGCUUCUUAACCCACACUUGAUCUGCAUUGGAAAUGGUAGCCAACUUGAUGAAUUCAUGCUGUGGAUGCACAGAAGCUGUUCGAUGAAAUGCCUAGCUCAACUCCAGAAGAAGCACAGAAGCAUUUGCCAGAAUAACAUCUAUAAUAAUGAAUUUAUCACCAGGAGAGUAUUCAAGAGAAAGUUUUGCCCAGUUUUAUUGGUUAAGAUGAAGGAUGCCCUUUGAAGCACUUCAGAUUCAAUGAAAGAAAUUCGAGGUCAUUAAGAACUCACAAAGAAAGCAACAGUAACAGGAGGCUGAAAUCUAUUCAUAAAUUUCAAUGGUGAAGCAAGCUCUUCUGUUGAUCAUUGGUUAAGAUGGAAGACAUGCAUAGUUAAACCCGUAAAAGUAGAGGUUAUUGGUAAUUGGUGAAGUGAGCAGAAGAUUUACCUCCACUCUACACGGUUCUAAUUCAUUCAUCAGUUUCAAUCACCUGCAACCAAAAUGCCGAAAUAGGAAUGUCAUGAUCCUGUAAUUGAUCCCACACUCUGCGGACAGCUUCUGUGCCUCCCUGCAUCCCGACAACAGCACCAGAAAUAAUCCAGUUUGGAAGUACUGGAGGUCUCCCUAUGGUUUCUGUAUAGGUUUCAAUUAGUUCAACAGAAAUACAAGUCACAUCAUGAAGAAGAAAAGAUUAAGAGUUGAAGCGACUCAAAACUGUGCUGUCGAAGACAACAGUGCCACAAGACAUGAGGUUGUCGAUUGUCUUAGUAUCAGACUGGUGCUUGCAGAUGAAAAGGACAUCACCAUCCUUAAUAGCAAAAGAGCCUCUGCUCUCCUCCACCUGAGUCUGGACAGCUGCAGCAGAUAUGAAGGCCUCUCCUGGGAUUGUAGACCAUAUGCUCCUGUUAGGC